CCUACGGGUGGCUGCAGUCGAGAAUCUUCGGCAAUGGGCGCAAGCCUGACCGAGCGACGCCGCGUGGAGGAUGAAGGCCUUCGGGUUGUAAACUCCUGUCGAGGGGGAACAAGGCUCCGUGCAGAACGGAGUUUGAGUGAUCCCUGGAGGAAGCACGGGCUAAGUUCGUGCCAGCAGCCGCGGUAAGACGAACCGUGCGAACGUUAUUCGGAAUCACUGGGCUUAAAGCGCGUGUAGGCGGACCAGCGCGUCGGCUGUUGAAAGCCCCCGGCUCA
rnacentral:rRNA from 1 species